UCCUGGUAGCUUAGGUGGUAAAGAAUCUGCCUGCAAUGCAGAAGACCCCGGUUUGACUCCUGGGUCAGGAA
rnacentral:tRNA from 1 species